rnacentral:rRNA from 1 species
UUAAUUGUGGUAACCCACAAAAUAUUGGGAUAUACAACAAAAGAAACAUUUGCGGCCUGCGGUGCAUUUCUUGCAGUCCUGAUGCAUGGAGAAAUGCUCAACUCUUGAUGCAUGAAGAAAAGGCCUAGUUUAUACUAAGUGACCCAUAGGUUGAGGAGGCGGUGACCGUGGCGGUGGAGGAUGAGGAUGAGGUAGCGAACACUGUUUUCUUUGCGCAGGCACUUUGUUGACUCUAGAGAACCUCGGGCCAAUUGCACAUCCCUGUGGCGUCGACUUUGCAUGCGGAUGUCAUCCAUAUCAACUUUUGAUGCCAGUUUCUGCGCCUACCAUGGUGACCACGUGUAACGGGGAAUCAGGGUUCCAUUCCGUACAGGGACCCUGAGAAACUGCUACCACAUGCAAGGAAGGCAGCAGGCACGCAAAUGACCCACUCACGACGCAGGAAGGUAGUGACGACAAAUAACAAUACAGGACUCUUUAGAGGCCCUGUAAUUGUAAUGAGUCCACUUGAAAUCCUUUAACUCUGAUCAAGUGGAGGGAACUCUGGUGCAGAGCCACUGACCCAUGUGUGCUGCAGCUGAAACUCCACA